UUCCGGUUGAUCCUGCCGGAGGCUACCGCUAUUGGAGUUCGAUUAAGCCAUGCGAGUCGAGAGUCUUAGGGACUCGGCGCACCGCUCAGUAACACGUGGGUAACCUGCCCUAUGCUGGGGAAUAACCUCGGGAAACUGAGAAUAAUGCCCCAUAGCCCACUACGCCUGGAACGGUGAGUGGGUCAAAGCUCCGGCGGCAUAGGAUGGGCCUGCGCCGUAUCAGGUUGUAGGGGGUGUAAAGUACCCUCUAGCCAUCAACGCGUACGGGUGUUGGGAGACAUUGCCCGGAGAUGGAUUCUGAGACACGAAUCCAGACCCUACGGGGUGCAGCAGGCGCGAAAACUUGGCAAUGCGAGCAAUCGUGACCAGGGAAACUCCAAGUGCGUAGGGUAAGACCUACGCUUUUCUUGACUCUUCAAAGGUCUUGGAAUAAGGGGUGGGUAAGGACGGUGCCAGCCGCCGCGGUAAUACCGGCGCCUCAAGUGGUAGUCGCUUUUAUUGGGCCUAAAACGUCCGUAGCCGGUCUGGUGCAUUCGUGGGUAAAUCAACCCGCUCAACGGGUUGAAUUCUGCGAGCACGGCCAGACUUGGGACCGGGAAGAGGUGUGGGGUACUCUCAGGGUAGGGGGUAAAUCCUGUCAUCCUGAGAGGACACCUGUUGCGAAGGCGCCACACUAGAACGGAUCCGACGGUCAGGGACGAACCUAGGGGCACGAACCGGAUUAGAUACCCGGGUAGUCCUAGGUGUAACGCUGUGGACUUGAUGU
rnacentral:rRNA from 1 species